GGGGGUAAAAUUGUCAUUUUAUUUAAAUUAUUUAACGGUGUUAGUGCAAAAGUAGCUAGUUGAUACAAAUGUGAAAAGAAAGGUGGUGCAGAGAACAUGUUACAAUUUUUUAGUGGUUGGAUAAAAAUAAGGCAAAACAAAAGUGGUGCAAUGAUAAUUUUCCAAUCUUGAUAAAAGAGAAGGAAAAAGAGUUGAAAAAAAAAUUAAUCUUUAUUUCGAGUAGUGUUUUGAAUAUCCCUUUCAUUAUCCUUUUAACACCCUUUCUUGAUAUAAUUGCAUCUAAGGACAUACAUUUAAUCUCAUUUAAGUACUUUUGUAUUAUCCACCUCCUUACUUCAAAUAAUAAUAAUAAUAAUAAUAA
rnacentral:lncRNA from 1 species